rnacentral:rRNA from 1 species
CCUACGGGGGGCAGCAGUAGGGAAUAUUGCUCAAUGGGGGAAACCCUGAGGCAGCAACGCCGCGUGGGGGAAUGAAGGUCUUCGGAUUGUAAACCCCUGUCAUGUGGGAGCAAAUCAAAAAGAUAGUACCACAAGAGGAAGAGACGGCUAACUCUGUGCCAGCAGCCGCGGUAAUACAGAGGUCUCAAGCGUUGUUCGGAAUCACUGGGCGUAAAGCGUGCGUAGGCUGUUUCGUAAGUCGUGUGUGAAAGGGGCGGGCUCAACCCGCGGACGGCACAUGAUACUGCGAGACUAGAGUAAGGGAGGGGGAACCGGAAUGCUCGGUGUAGCAGGGAAAUGCGUAGAUAUCGAGAGGAACACUCGUGGCGAAGGCGGGUUCCUGGACAUUAACUGACGCUGAGGCACGAAGGCCAGGGGAGCGAAAGGGAUUAGAUACCCUUGUAGUC